GUCGCCCAGGCGAUCGCGUUCAUCAGAUGUUGGAUGAAUGAGGAAAGUCCGAGCACCGCAGGGCAGGAUGCCUGUUAACGGCAGGGGGCAGUGAUGCUACGGAAAGUGUCACAGAAAAUACACGGCCGAUCCCUUCGGGGAGGCAAAGGUGAAAUGGCGAGGUAAGAGCUCACCGCGGUCCGGGUAACCGGGCCGGCAGGAUAAACCCCAUCUGGUGCAAGACCAAAUAGGAGAGGAGAGGCGGCCCGUCUCAUCCCCCGGCUAUGCCGGACACCUCUCGGGUUAGGUCGCUAGAGGCGGCUGGUGACAGCCGUCCCAGAUAGAUGAUCGCCACCUUCGUGAGAAGGAACAGAACUCGGCUUAUGGUCGG
rnacentral:RNase_P_RNA from 1 species